GAACUCAGGGCUUUGUGCUUGCUGGGCAGGUGCUCUACCACUUGAGCCAGGCCUCCAGGCCUCUGGCACUUUCUAUUCUUGUAGUUAGCCAUGUUCCUGACAGCUACAUAUCCGCUGCGGGGAUACCAAUAGUAAUGGGGAAGGUUUUCCCUUAAUGCAGGAGUCCAAUACACUGUCAGAAGUGUAGUCAGAAUGCUUACGUGCUUCCUCCGUGCCAGGCCCUUUGUGGAAGACUUCGUAGACAGCCCUGUGAAUCUUAGUAAAUUCAUUUCACAGAUGAAGAAUCCAAGACUCACAGAGGUAGAGUAACCCGCUCAAGUUCAUGUCUGGUGUGUUGCAGAGAGGAAUUUGAGCCAAGGCCCUCUGAUCCUGCAGCUCAGGCCCUUGAACCUGCUUUCGUGUUCAUUCUGCCCACGGGAUGGAGUGAUUUCAGAACUUCAGUUGUGCUGCAGUAGUGAGCCAGGAGGCUCUGUGUGUCACUUACGUUUACCAUGUCGGCCACUGGGAAGCAAGCACGCGUGGAGCAUUUACUGUUUGACAAUUCUGCAUGCAAGGUUUUAACGCUCAGUGUAUUUAUGUUUGUAGGGAUGCUUCCUUUGGAAAUUGCUCUUACAAUCUCACCAUUCUCGACUGUUUACAGGGACUCAGAAAGGGAUUGCAGCAUGGAUUUUUUGACUUUGAGACAUUUGACGUGGACGAGUAUGAGCAUUACGAGCGAGUUGAAAAUGGUGACUUCAACUGGAUUGUUCCAGGAAAAUUCUUAGCGUUUAGUGGACCACACCCUAAAAGCAAAAUUGAAAAUGGUUACCCUCUUCAUGCCCCUGAAGCCUACUUCCCUUACUUCAAAAAGCAUAAUGUGACUGCAAUCGUGAGACUGAACAAAAAGAUUUACGAGGCGAAGCGCUUCACCGACGCGGGCUUCGAGCACCAUGACCUCUUCUUCCUAGACGGCAGCACUCCCAGUGAUAACAUCGUGAGAAGGUUCCUGAACAUCUGUGAGAACACAGAAGGGGCGAUUGCCGUCCACUGCAAAGCUGGUCUUGGAAGAACAGGCACGUUGAUAGCCUGUUACGUCAUGAAGCACUACAGGUUCACACAUGCUGAAAUCAUUGCUUGGAUCAGAAUUUGCCGGCCAGGCUCCAUCAUCGGCCCCCAGCAGCACUUCCUGGAAGAAAAACAAGCAUCGUUGUGGGUCCAAGGAGACAUUUUCCGAUCCAAACUGAAAAAUAGACCAUCCAGUGAAGGAAGUAUUAGUAAGAUUCUUUCUAGCUUGGAUGACAUGUCUAUUGGUGGGAACUUAUCUAAAAUACAAAACGUGGAAAGAUUUGGAGAGGUGAGUUUUCCCCUGGAGGUUCUGUCUCUUCAGUGCUGGAUCCUUCAUUGCUCUCCAGCUGAGCACUUAACACACGGCAGUGUCGUUUCUCCCAGGUGCUGGAGGCUGGAGUUGAAGGUGCAGAAGCAGAGCAGCAAAGUCAGUUGCCCUCACAACGCUCUCAUUUCAGGAGUACAAUUGUAAAGAAAGGAAAUUGUACAGAAAGGAAAUAGAAAGGGCAACCCUCGACUUCAAAAUAGAAAUGUCAGAUUUUUUAUUGUUGUGCUGGGAUUUGAGCUUGGGCCCUCUACCACUGGAUUUUCAGACAGGGUCCUUAUGCAGGCUUUGCCCAGGCUGGACUUCAGCUGCAGUCCCCCUCCUUUUGCCCCCUGAGUAGCUGGGACCACAGGUGUGCGUCACCACCCCUGGCUCAGAAGAACAAUUUUACCGUUCCCAUUAAAGAAGUAGGCGUAUUAGUUUUUAUCAUCGCUCUGACCAUAUCCCUGACAGAAAGAACUUGAGGGAGGAAAGAUUUAUCUUGCUCACAGUUUCACAUGGUUCAGUCCAUGGUCACUUGACUGUGUUUCUGAGCCCUCUGUGAGCAGAACCUCACAGUGACAGGAGUUUGUGGAGGAGGCUCUUCACCCCAUGGUGUGCAGGAAACAGAAAGAAAAGCAGGAAGGGGCCAUGGACAAGAUACCCCCAAGAACCUGCCUCCUAAAGUUUCCAGAACCUCCCAAAAUAGCAUCCCCAGCUGGAGCCAAGCCCUCAACACGUGAGCCCAUGGGGACAUUUCCUAUCCAAACCUUAGCAGUGGCACAUGGCACGAGGGGGACUUGGCUGGUUUCUACAGUAAGUGCAGAGUUGGAUGCAUGAUCAGCUAUAACUUGUUCUGUUGAGGCUCUGCCAUAAACAGAGCACUUCAGAUAGUCGUUUUUCAUCAUCUGGUUUCAUCUCCAUGGCACCUGGCAGAAUAAUUUAGAAGAUGAUGAAGAUGUGGAGAUGACAACCAGCA